AUGGCUGGAGCAUGGAGGCACCAUUUUCAUGCAAUUUCUCAAGUGUCUGCGCAUCUUUUCAUGGCUCAUUUUAAAUCUCAAGAAUCCAUGAUGUUUGUACUCACGCGUCAGCCGUGGACAAUGGGCUCGGAUAAUCUUCUCAUUGAGUGGGUAGACCCAGUAGAUGAAUCCAAGACAAAGGAAGACUACAAAUUUGAGUACAUCUAUGUGAGUGUUCGAGUUUAUGGAAUCCUCUCUACUGUCGGGAAGCCGUCUGAAUUUCAUCCUCUGCAAGAAAGCAUGUUGUUUGCUAGACCAGACUAUAUUUGGGGAAUUACUAAGAUUCGAAUAUACGAUUGAGUUGUGGACAAAAUUAACUUGACAUUGGAUGAAAAGACUACUAAAAUGGUCUAUUUUCAUUAUGAGAAGAUUGGCAGAAUCUGUUUAUUCUGUGGAGUUAUGUUUCAUACAGUUCAACAUUGCCAAAAGAGGAAUGACAUUAUUAUGGCAAGGGUCAGGAGCGGGAAAUCAGCAGGAGAUAUCCCCUUUUUCAUAUAUGGAGAAUGUGUAAUGGACUCAGGAAAAAUUCCACUACAGGUUUGUGAAGAAGAAAAGGACACAAAUCCCAUUCUUAGUAGAUUCCAAAGGAUGUUUCAAGAUGAUCACAGAACAGAAAAAGGAAAAGUAGCCCUUGGGAAAGCAAAUCUGCAUUCUACAUUGCCCCCAGAUCAUUUUAAUUAUGGACAAGUAAUCGGAGGGGAGUUUUUUAUGGGUCAGAGUUCAUCAGCAGCCAAUCCUAUAAUUAAGGACCAACAUCUCAUAAUUAGUGGCAGCACCAUACCAUCUUUGAAAGCAGCGAAUCAGGGUUAG
rnacentral:rRNA from 1 species